rnacentral:rRNA from 1 species
AGCGAACGCUGGCGGCAGGCCUAACACAUGCAAGUCGAACGAACCUUUCGGGGUUAGUGGCGGACGGGUGAGUAUCACGUGGGAACGUGCCUUUAGGUUCGGAAUAACUCAGGGAAACUUGUGCUAAUACCGAAUGUGCCCUUCGGGGGAAAGAUUAAUCGCCUUUAGAGCGGCCCGCGUCUGAUUAGCUAGUUGGUUGAGGUAAUGGCUCACCAAGGCGACGAUCAGUAGCUGGUCUGAGAGGAUGAUCAGCCACAUUGGGACUGAGACACGGCCCAAACUCCUACGGGAGGCAGCAGUGGGGAAUCUUGCGCAAUGGGCGAAAGCCUGACGCAGCCAUGCCGCGUGAAUGAUGAAGGUCUUAGGAUUGUAAAAUUCUUUCACCGGGGACGAUAAUGACGGUACCCGGAGAAGAAGCCCCGGCUAACUUCGUG